GCGACCGUGGUCUAGCCAACCCUCGUGGGGCUCUAGAAUGGUCUAGGACCCAGGCCCCCCAAGCCUGUGACCCGGGUUCAAAUCCCGGCGGUCGCACCA
rnacentral:tRNA from 1 species